GUGAAAAUGUUUUAAUAAAAGGAAACUAGAAAUCAAAUAUUUGUAUAAGGACAGAUUUGAGGUUUUUCUGUACUUUUAAUGAGCUAGAAAAUGCAUACUAUAAAUAGAAUAUACAAAUGAUUUUACACAAAUGAAGCAUUAAAAAUCACAAAUCUUAUAUUUGGUUAUCCACAGUCUAUAAAAUAAUGUUCCCAAAUUAUAUAGUUUAAAAUACACAAUGUUUCAAGUUGCAAGACAAAACCAGGGUAGUUUUGGCCCUAAAUCAUAGCUAACAUAAGUAGGAAUUAUAAUUAAUUUUAUAAUUGUGUUUAAAUUUUAAAUACUCUAGAAUCUGAAAAUAUUAAAUAUUAAAUAGAUGGAGGGAUCAAAUUAUCAAGUUUUUUAACAAAAUUGAGGUAAAAAUCUGCAUUAAAUUACACCAAGAAAAACAUUUCUAAAACAUUGUUUCCAUAACUCAUUAUAAAUAUUUCAUCUUCCGAAAGUACUCUUUGAUUACCUCUGGCCUUCUGGGUCUGGUAAUUAAGUUGACUUAAUAUUUGCACAUAGCUACUGAUUACUCAAUACAGGCCUAUCAGAUAAAACUAAAAUGCUGCAACUUAAUCAGAAUGAUGCAAUCUUGUCUUAUAUAAAUAUACAAAUCACAGUAUGCUGACACUAGAUAACUUCAGCUUUAUUUGCCAAAGGGGAUUUAGAAUAUACUACAAAAUUGUAUAUAAAAUAACCCUUUACAAGGAUUUACUAGGAUGACUGCAAAGAAAGGCAAAUUAAAUAUACCUGGUCCCAUAUAAGAAUUGUUGCCUAACCUCAUAUACUAAUUUGAAUAUGAAGACUCACUUUUUAUUUCUUAUUUUUUUGAAACAGGGUCUCGCUCUGUCACCCAGGCUGGAGUGCAGUGGUGUGAUCUCAGCUCACUGCAACCUCUGCCUCUUGGGUUCAAGCGAUUCUCCUACCUCAGCCUCACAAGUAGCUGGGACUACAGGCGUGCACCACCAUGCCUGGCUAAUUUUUUGUAUUUUUAGUAGAGAAGGGGUUUCUCCAUGUUGGUCACACUGGUUUUGAACUCCUAAUCUCAGGUGAUCCACCCGCCUCGGACUCCCAAAGUGCUGGGAUUACAGGUGUGAGCCACCGCACCUGGCCUGAAUAUAAAGACUCAUUUUAAAUUAUACUAGUUGAACCUUUAUACUACAAUGUAUCCUGGCACUUAUUUUUUUUAAACCAUUAUCAGAUAUUUCAUGUUCUACUAGUAAAGGGAAUUCGCAUUUUCAAUGUCCUGUCUGCAUUCCUCCUAGCCUCUCUCUGCUCAGGUUUUGGAAAAUAGAUCUUUCAAAUGCAAUUGCAGUAUCCAAGGAAAUUCCUCCCACCCAUGCCACCAGUGCUCAUCCUGUGGGCACCCCACAGUCAGCAGUUUAAGACCAUUCUGGAUGAAUGCAAAUGCUUGAUUCAAUUUUCCCAAAUCCCAAUCAACUAGCUACAGUUUUUAUUGUAUGCAAUCUUCCCAACAUUGCAGUAAAGCAGUCUAGAUGGCUGGGGAAAGGUAAAAGAACCCCGGUUGUGAUUAUUUUUUUCUAACAAAAUGGAAUUAAAAGAUGAGAAAACCUCGUAGUAUUUUAGUCUGGUACUUUUAGCAUCCCCAACUUUUAAGAUUAUAAAUUCACAAUAGUGAACACCCUAGUGACAACUUUUAAAUAAAAUACUGGAUAGCUGCCUCAUUUUUCAGCUUUGUUGUAGUUGAGAUUCUGAUGUUCACCUAACAAAGUCCCUGACAAAACAGACUUCCUUCAAUCCAGGUCAUAAUUUGAAACGUUAUACAAUAAUGAGAUUUAAGUGAUGAAUGGAAAGAAAAGAAGGAGACUGAAAAGAUAUCAGAAAUUUCUAUUUGUUUUUAGAUUCAGAAAAAUAUAAUUACAGGCCAACAUGGGUCUGACAGAGAGGAAGGACGUCAGCAGUUAC
rnacentral:lncRNA from 1 species